UGUGGCGUGACAGCGGAGGAAAGCCAGGGAAGAAAGGUCUGGAAGGUCUAGAAAGAUCGUCUGCUGUGAGCUGGGAUAGGUCUGGGGCGGGCGGAGCGGAGGCCGAGCUGCCGGGAGAAUCGAGGCGAACCUGCUGGAAAUCGAGCCGAGUGGAUCCAUGAAUAUGCGAUCGUCGCCCACCUCCUCCCGGGGACCGCGAACUUCCUCCACUCCAGUGAAGCUCUGCAUUAAUCACGGCUAAUUGCGAGCGGGACUCGUUUAUGUCAAGAGCCGUUAUUCCUGGGAAUAAACGGGCAUAAAGGAAGGCUCCUUUCAGGAAGCUCAGUGGAGCCCGGGAAGGAGCCGUGCCAGGCGCAGACAAGGCCCCCGGCCCCCCGGCCCCCCCCACGGCCAGCCCACUUCCAGUGGCCCCAACGGCAUGUGACAAACGCAGGGCCUCUGGCCUUUGCCGAAUCUUCAGGGAAAUGAGCACAUCCGUCAUAUCCACGCGCUUUUCUGAAGUUGUUGGACAGCUAUGUCUGCGAGGCCCACAGGAAGGU